rnacentral:rRNA from 1 species
AGAGUUUGAUCAUGGCUCAGAACAAACGCUGGCGGCGUGCCUAAUACAUGCAAGUCGAACGAGGUAGCAAUACCUAGUGGCGCACGGGUGAGUAACACGUGGAUAAUCUACCUUUGAGUGGGGAAUAACCCUCCGAAAGGAGGGCUAAUACCGCAUAAGACCACAGAUACUUCGGUAUCAGGGGUCAAAGGAGACCUCUAUUUAUAAGUUUUCGCUUAAAGAUGAGUCCGCGCUCGAUUAGUUAGUUGGUAGGGUAAGAGCCUACCAAGACAAUGAUCGAUAGCUGGUCUGAGAGGAUGACCAGCCACACUGGAACUGAGACACGGUCCAGACUCCUACGGGAGGCAGCAGUAGGGAAUAUUGCACAAUGGAGGAAACUCUGAUGCAGCGACGCCGCGUGAGUGAUGAAGGCCUUCGGGUCGUAAAGCUCUGUUGUACGGGAAGAAAUGUAUACGGCUAACAUCCGUAUACUUUGACGGUACCGUAUAAGAAAGGACCGGCUAACUUCGUGCCAGCAGCCGCGGUAAGACGAGGGGUCCUAGCGUUGUUCGGAAUCACUGGGCGUAAAGCGCAUGUAGGCGGCUUUUCAAGUCAGGUGUGAAAGCCCACGGCUUAACCGUGGAAGUGCAUUUGAAACUGUAAAGCUUGAGUAUGGGAGAGGAUGGUAGAAUUCCUGGUGUAGUGGUGAAAUACGUAGAUAUCAGGAGGAAUACCGGUGGCGAAGGCGGCCAUCUGGCCUAAUACUGACGCUGAGAUGCGAAAGUGCGGGGAUCAAACAGGAUUAGAUACCCUAGUAGUCC